rnacentral:rRNA from 1 species
GAUGAACGCUGGCGGCGUGCCUAAUACAUGCAAGUCGAGCGAACGGACGAGAAGCUUGCUUCUCUGAUGUUAGCGGCGGACGGGUGAGUAACACGUGGAUAACCUACCUAUAAGACUGGGAUAACUUCGGGAAACCGGAGCUAAUACCGGAUAAUAUUUUGAACCGCAUGGUUCAAAAGUGAAAGACGGUCUUGCUGUCACUUAUAGAUGGAUCCUCGCUGCAUUAGCUAGUUGGUAAGGUAACGGCUUACCAAGGCAACGAUGCAUAGCCGACCUGAGAGGGUGAUCGGCCACACUGGAACUGAGACACGGUCCAGACUCCUACGGGAGGCAGCAGUAGGGAAUCUUCCGCAAUGGGCGAAAGCCUGACGGAGCAACGCCGCGUGAGUGAUGAAGGUCUUCGGAUCGUAAAACUCUGUUAUUAGGGAAGAACAUAUGUGUAAGUAACUGUGCACAUCUUGACGGUACCUAAUCAGAAAGCCACGGCUAAAUACGUG